rnacentral:rRNA from 1 species
UACGAAGGGUGCAAGCGUUACUCGGAAUUACUGGGCGUAAAGCGUGCGUAGGUGGUUCGUUAAGUCUGCCGUGAAAGCCCCGGGCUCAACCUGGGAAUGGCGGUGGAUACUGGCGGACUAGAGUGCGGUAGAGGGUGGUGGAAUUCCCGGUGUAGCAGUGAAAUGCGUAGAGAUCGGGAGGAACAUCUGUGGCGAAGGCGGCCACCUGGACCAGCACUGACACUGAGGCACGAAAGCGUGGGGAGCAAAC